AAACAGACUCUGGGCCCAAAAUUACAAGAUGGCAGCACCCGUGUCCGGGAUGUUUUGGAUUCAGAAGCAGUACGCUGUCUUCACAACUCAGAGACAAAUUGUAGGCGCUACGAACCGGAGCAAGGACUAAUCUCACCUCAUAACGAGGCCGUGACCUCCUAUUUGCUCGGAGCAAGUCCAGAUUUACAUGAUGCUGACAAAGACGCCAUUGUGUCUGCCUGUAAGACGAGACAGUAUGCAAGCUGUGAAGAGUUCAGCUCGGAGUCGAGCGAGAAGAAAGAGGCUGCUGGAAGCGAGACAGAAUGUGCUGGAUGGAUUGUGCGACCUCCCUCCUUUCUUUCCUUUCACCGAGCUCUGUGCCACGCUGCAGUCGAGAUUAGAGCUGAUUCAGAAGUACAGGGCAACGCACCACAGACGUCUGCCAAACUAAUUAAUGAAUUAAGAGAGAAUGCCGCCAGUUACCUACAGCUCCAAGGCGGCAAUCAGGCACUUCACGGUGCUGUAGGAUUUUGGGCUUCUCUGUGAGCUUCCCAUUUGUUGUGUAGGCAGAUCUCCUACGCUUUGUAGUUGUGUGUUUGCAUUUGUGCUAAUAUAAAAGCUCUUUCUUUGAAUAAACAUCACGUUCCUGGCAAA